ensembl:lncRNA
CACAUCUGCCACAGCAACUCAUACCAAUAGGUCAAGGACAGGUCACCGGUAGGUGAAGGACAGCAAACCACAAUAUCCAGAAUGAAUAGCAAUGUCAGGACGUAGUACCACCCCUGUCGAGGUGGAUCCAGUUGAGAAUGGAUGUCAACAGGUAGCUAACGUUACUCACUGGACCAGACACUCAUUCAUAGAACAUAAGCUAGCGAAUAACUAUUUAUUUGUGUUUUUGUGCAGACAAAUGUCAAGUUUAGUCAUGGUGUGGUGCUCAGUACCUGGGUAUGCAAACUACAAGAAAGGGUAACAUUUCAUUGGUUGCUUUACUAAGAAGUCGAGCAUAGGUAAUGUAGCUAACUUAACUAGUUAGCAAACUACAUUUGUUAAUCUAAACCAAAAUCUAGCUAGCUUUCAUAAUAUGCUGGCUAGACAUUCCAAAGCAAAUAAUUGUAAUUAGCCAGCUGCUAUCUGGCGAAGUGAUUUGUAACUUUGCCAGCUAACGUUAUGUUAGCUACAGCCUACAGGACCACAGAGGCUAACGUUACUGGCCUAUGUGUUCUAUUUACAGAGUUCUGAUCCCAUAAAGAUCUGCUGUGGCAUCAAGCUCAGCACCAGGAACUAGUAGUGAUGGGGGAAAAAUUGAUAGUUACAUAUGGAGAUAUUAUUUUUCAUGAUAUAUCAUAUCGUUUUGACAAUAUGGCAAUAUUAUUUUUGCGCUAGUUGGCUGUACCUGCACCAAAACGUUUUCCUUCAUAGCUUGUUCUCCAUCUUCUGUUUAAAUAGGGAGCCAAUUGGCUUUCAGCGGUUUAAUUUCCACAACUGAUCAGAACUUGUUUUCUCUGGCUCUCCGUUGUCGACUGACAUAUGGACCUGAGCCCUAGGACCAUGCCUCAGGACUACCUGGCCUGAUGACUCCUUGCUGUCCCCAGUCCACCUGGUCGUGCUGCUGCUCCAGUUUCAACUGUUUUUCUGUGGCUAUGGAACUCUGACAUGUUCACUGGACGUG